rnacentral:rRNA from 1 species
AUCUAUGAUCAUACCACCUAAAUGUGACUGAUUGUAGAAGAUAAGCAGUGUCAGGCCUAGUUGGUACUCAGAUGGGAGACCACAGUAGGAAUAUUGGGUGCUGUGGGCU